AUCUCUGUUUCAACCAUCACCUCAGUGUACAUUCUCUUCCCACAGAGGUUACUUGCAUAUCUUCCUGCGAACCUCUGUUCUACUACGGCCCUUUCAUGGAGCGAGUGUUCAGGAUUUGUGAUUGGUUGCAAUCACAUUUAGUUGUGCAAUCAGCCGCGUUGUUUCAAAAGUGAUCAUUCGCACGGCCUCGGUAAUUUUCGUAUGCGUCUGAAAAAACUAUAGAACCUCUUCCCCUGCGCGAUGCGCAA